rnacentral:sRNA from 1 species
GCUGGGUGCAUUGGCACAUGCCUAUAAUCCCAGUGACUUAGGAGGCUGAGGCAGGAGAAUCGCAAGUUCAAAGCCAACCUCAGCAAUGACAAAACACUAAGCAACUCAGUGAGACCCUGUCUCUA